UCCACAGUACGUGCCUGCAGAAU
rnacentral:piRNA from 1 species